rnacentral:rRNA from 1 species
UUCGUGAUGGAGUACAUCGCGGAGGCGCGGCAGAUUACUGAGUACGCCACUGAUGACAAACUCGAUGUGCGCGAGCGCAUGUCGCUCUUCGCGCAGGUCU